rnacentral:rRNA from 1 species
ACCCGCUGAACUUAAGCAUAUCAAUAAGCGGAGGAAAAGAAACCAACAGGGAUUGCCCUAGUAACGGCGAGUGAAGCGGCAACAGCUCAAAUUUGAAAUCUGGCUUUCGGGCCCGAGUUGUAAUUUGUAGAGGAUACUUUUGAUGCGGUGCCUUCCGAGUUCCCUGGAACGGGACGCCAUAGAGGGUGAGAGCCCCGUCUGGUUGGAUGCCAAAUCUCUGUAAAGUUCCUUCGACGAGUCGAGUAGUUUGGGAAUGCUGCUCUAAAUGGGAGGUAUAUGUCUUCUAAAGCUAAAUAUUGGCCAGAGACCGAUAGCGCACAAGUAGAGUGAUCGAAAGAUGAAAAGCACUUUGAAAAGAGAGUUAAAAAGUACGUGAAAUUGUUGAAAGGGAAGCGUUUAUGACCAGACUUGGACUUGGUUAAUCAUCUGGGGUUCUCCCCAGUGCACUUUUCCAGUUCAGGCCAGCAUCAGUUUUCGCCGGGGGAUAAAGGCUUCGGGAAUGUAGCUCUCUUCGGGGAGUGUUAUAGCCCGUUGUGUAAUACCCUGGCGGAGACUGAGGUUCGCGCUUCUGCAAGGAUGCUGGCGUAAUGGUCAUCAACGACCCGUCUUGAAACACGG